rnacentral:lncRNA from 9 species
AUUCUUUUAAAAUUCUUAUGCUUAUAUAAGCUUUGUCAUGCAUACAAAUUAUAGAACUGUAGAAUAUGCAUUUAAUUCACAUGUCAGAGAACUUUUUACUGAGCAAGAGGAUUGAAAUAUUGGAAAACAAUGAUAUGAAUCAGAUUGCUGGUCUUUUCUAAGGAAUCAAACCAGAAUCCAAAACAGCCCUGGGGGCUGGGCACUGUCAGGCAAAGCACACAUGUGGCCUGUCCGGGGAGAAGAAGGGCCAUGAAUAAACUCUAGAAAAUCUGUUUCAUCAAACUCUGAAAUUCAGAGGGGCCUCAUCAGCCCUGAGUUUCAGCUUGUAGGCAGAAGGGAGAUAAUGUGGAGGUGAGUGAAUUUUUUCCCCAUUCACCUGCAAACACCAGUGCGGUGAGAAUACAAUUCAGGAACCUACACCCCCUCCAGGGCCAUCAGAGCUGCAGGGUGUGUGUGUCCACGUGUGCAGAAGCAAUGGGGACUUCUGGCAGCAUCUAGCAGGGACUGGUGCACCGAAGCACCCACAGCACCCAGAAGAAUGGCUUUUUGUUAAGAAUGCAACAGUUUGUGCUUACAUUACAUUUUUGGAAGGGUCCUGUUGCUUUAGAGGCAAAAUUCUACAGGCAGCAGUUUACUUACUGAUUUUUUUAAUACAUAUGAAAAAUCUACUGGAAGGUGUUUUGGAUCAGGUAAGAAAAAAGAAAAAUGGACUCGUUCAGUCAAGUUUAUGGAUAUAGUGACUUGCCUAGGAAGCAGGAGAGUAAAAAUCCUGGGCAAAAUGAAGCAUCUGAUCAAGACACCUAGGGUGCACAACCACUGAUUAUGCUCGCCAAAUGGCAUAUGGGGAAAGGGUCCCAGCUCUUAGGCCAAGCAACUGCUGGGAUCCAGCUGAGGCCUAGCCUGGGAACCUCCAUAUGCCGCGGGAGCGGCCCAAGAAAUAGCAACAACAACAACAACAACAACAAAAAGACAAAAAGACAAAAAAAAAAAAAAAAAAAAAAAUUUAUGAAUUUUACAUCAAAAUACAACAAAUAUAAAACUUGAGAGUAGAGGCGUUUAAACAAAUCUUAGAAAAUACAUGCAAGCCAGCAAUGAGCUGAAUGUGCUUCUUCUGUUCACAUUUCUUCUUCAUACAUGGAGUGGGUGUGCCUAGAAGACCUGUACUUUUUCACUGAUUGCUAACAUUCUAGAAGGAUGUCUUCCAAUUCAAGCUAAAAGCCUCCCUCAUGCUUCAUGUUCCUUGUGAGGAGAAAACAAAGACAAAAACAACAGCCUUGCUGCUAUCCACUAGUGAGCCUGGUCAUAAAUACUAAGAAGUAUCAAGAGAAUACCAACACCAAGUAAGAUUACUUGGAGAGCAUGAUAAAGUGAGACAAAAUGAUGGCAAUUCAUAAUUGUUUUCUAAGUACAGGGGAAAAAAAAAAGGUCACUGCGCCACCCCUCAAAUACCAAACACUCCAUUCUUUUGGUUAAAAUGAAUGACAGCUACUUUGUUUCCAGGAACGGCUCUUUCCUACCCAUCAUCUUCCCUCCUGUCGGUAAGAUUCAUUGACAGAUGAAUCACAGAAUUGCCCUGGCUUUCAGCAUCUGAUCUAAAUGACCCACCACUUUCAGGCUCUCCCUCAAAUCACCUGACCUAAGCCCAAAUCCUGCAGUAGCUUUCUUCUAACAUCCUCCUCCUGAGACACUCAGGGCAAUGAGGAAGAAACCCAACUUGUUCUAGAUUCCACUUGUUCUCAGGUGUGUUCCUGCUGGUUUCUGGCUGGAGAAUAUGGACGCGGGAAUGAUCUCAUCUUAGUCAGCUGACUCUGGCACCCCAAGGAGAAUACCCCCAUGCUUGAGCCUUUUUCCUAAACACUUCUUACUCCCUACUUCCCCACGGAGGGCUGGCCCCCUGUGCUAUUGUUGUCUGGAACCCCUUGCACUUCUCCCCUCUGACAGCCUCCACAUAUCGUGAGGUGUUUCUCCAAUGGCAAUGAAAGGUCUUGCAGGCAAGGGUGAGGAGUGAAGUCAGACCACAGUCCCAGUAUUCUAUUCCCUGAUGAAAAGUGUUUUAUAAAAGCUUGCUAAUUACACUGAGGAAUAUGGAAUGAUUGGCCAACGGGGACCUGUUGUAUAGCACAGGGAACUCGACCCAAUAUUCUGGGAUCAUCUAUGAGGAAAAAGAAUCUGUAUAACUGAAUCACAUUGCUGUAGAGCAGAAUUACCACCAACUUCUAAGUCAAUUAUACUUAAAAAAACUUGAAAAAAAUGGAAAAAAGUUGGCUAAUUCAUGGACAUAGGAAUUAAAGCUUUCUAACCUACCUUCUGUAUAGAUCACCACUUGGUCAUGACAUCUCUCAAGCCACCAACAUAUUUUGAGAAGAAUCUGCAAGAAUAAAACAGCAUUAAAAAUUGAAGUUUCACAGUGCCAAGAAAAUUCCUAAUUAUUGAGUCUAAGUCACUUAUUUUACAUUUCAAAUAGGAAUAUCCUUGCAGCUUUUUAAAUUCUUCACUGCAAAAUUUAGGUAUUCACAGACGAAGGAUUAAAAAGCAAAUUUAUUUCAAAGUAUUAUUUCUGUUUUGACACAAAUUCAUAAAACAAAAUCUAUUACCAAAAAAGACAUGCGAUAUAAUUUAAAUAUGUAAUUUGCAACAGCUACAUAUAUUGUAAAGCUACUGUUCUAAAACUAAGGAGCAAUUACCUCUUGUUUGCUUUAGCACUCAGUAUGCUGAAAAGUCUGGAGAACCAUUGGUUUAUUAACAAAUAUAUUUAGGGAGUUCCUGUCGUGGCUCAGUGGAAAUGAAUCUGACUCGUAUGCAUGAGGACGCAAGUUCGAUCCCUGGCCUAGCUCAGUGGGUUAAGGAUCCCGUGUUGCUGUGAGCUGUGGUGUAGGUCUCAGACUCGACUCAGAUCUGUGCUGCCCUAAAAAGACAAAAAAAGAAAAAAA